UGAUACUGGAUCAGUAUGACUUGGUACAUGUUCACUGCACUUUGAGAGACAUAUUCUCCAGUGAAAAUUGACAGAACAAUUUCAGCAGACAUAAAACCUUCUCCUGAAUUUGCACAAGGCCUGCAGAUGCUCCUGCCACAGAGAACAGGGUCUCUAAAUGCUCCAGGCUGAAGCACCGGUGCUGCUAAUAGAGUAAAUUGCACGUACAUAGCAGCAGUCAUCCCUGCCGCUUUCACAGGAACCGAGCGCUCCUUCCUGAGUGAGCCUCCGAUUUUAAGCCCUGAAAGAGCAGCUUGACACCCUGUGACCUGCCUGGAAGUGAUGAAAAAGGCAGCAGUAUUCCCUGGUGAGUUUGGACACGCACAUCAGGGGCUGAAUGCCUUUGUUUGUUUAGGACUGCCGUAAGUUGGGUGUUGUAAACAUGACUCAUGACGAGUUUAAUUAAGACAAAAAACAUGGGAAAUGCAGAAGAAAGUCACGCAUCUUUCUCUGCAGCUUUGGCAGCUGAAGGUUUUUCUGAGAGAUUUGAAUGUGCUGCACCAGUGCAAAUAUAA